rnacentral:lncRNA from 1 species
CCAUCAAUAUACAUAAGCCAAACAUUAUAGAAGAUACAAAACCAGGGGAAGCCCAAAAUAUGAAUUGAGUUACAGCUGACAAUCGUGCAGAUUUCGACAACCAAUUGUACUCGACACUUCGUAAAGUUUCUAGCUUUGUGAGGUACUUCAUGUCCCAGGCUUGAAGCUUAAGUAUUUUUAUGCUUCUAAGAACUUCUGUUGUUGCCUUCAUUCUGUUGUCUUUAGCAUCCAUGAUCUUGCCUUGCAACCUUUUCUGCAUUCUUGUGAGUGGAAUGUUGCAAGACAUUAUUGCCAGUGUUGCUGCUAAGCCAGCCCAGGCUGCAACCCCUAGGUUUUGAUGAAGAACAUAGAUUGCUAGAGAAAGCUGUAUGGGUAACAUCCAAAUGUAGUUUGCAUACCAUAUGACAUCGGAUAUCCUUUGUAUAUCUACGCUCAUAUAGUUUAUGAUCUCUCCACUUGUAUAUUUUUGCCUCGAACUGCAGGACAAGGAGAGCCCCUUUUGAUAGACGUGGGAUAUCAAAGCAGCUCGUAGCUGCAUCCCCAGCUGUCGAGCCCCAAAAAUCCACUGCCUCUGAGCUAUGGUUUC